GAGACGAUAUCAAACUGACAUCUGCACUCAUGGUAAGUGCUGAAGUUCUUGUGUCAAUAUGAGGCUGCAGGGGCUACCAUCUGUUUCAUGACCAGGCCUGAAAUGAUAAUUAAUAGGAUAAAAGGAAUGUUAAAGAAAUAGGCCCAUUAAAGGAUUAACUCUAUAGAAAUGCAAAAUACCUUGUUCUGAAUGGUCAAUUUCACUAACUUUAUGAUUGUAGUCCAUAGUCAUGUCCUUUUCUUUCUCUUUCUCCCGCCCAUCUCUCAUCUCUCUUCCUCAUCUCUGUCUUCCCCUUUCCCCCUUUCUCCAGCUGGACUAAGAAGCGUUGGGUAUUGCUGGUGAAGUCUUUGGAGAAGAAGAAGUGGGUCGUUGUGCGGCCUCUUCCCUUCUCCCAUGCAUACCCACAGCAGUAUGACGUAAGUCCCUCCCCCUUCUCUAUCCCUCCAUCACUCACUCUUUUCACCCUUCCCCUCUCUCAUACACAGUCACACCCACCUAAGUAUGAACUGAGUCACCCCUCUCUACUAAUUUUCUCCAUCCCUCCCUCCCCUCGGGGCCUGUUUUAAUCUCUCCAAUCAGGCAGUCAUUUCCAGCAGACCUCUCACAUGCUGAAUACAGCUGAUGUUGUUUACAGCUCUCCUCCUCUCGUCUUUACACCUAUAGGCAGCUUGGCCUUUGUUCCACGGUAGGUUAGCUAUUUGUCGUGCUACUAAAGGGUUUCUGUAAAGAAGGGCCAGUAUGUCAGCAUCCGUUUCAAUUGUGUUUUGACAUCCGAUUAUAAGGAUUGUCAAAUAAAAUCACAGGAAAGUAUACAAUCAGGACAGACAGUGCAAUAAUAAAGCAGUCUGCCUAGAUGUGUGUCCAUGUGAUGAAGCAGGAGAAGUGCCACUGACAUCGGGAACUGUUCCUUCGCCCACAUUCUGGAAGAAAGGGACGUCUGGACGUACAUGAAUAACAACAGCUUGAGGGACAUGCAGCAGAUGUUUGACAUGUGGCUCAGGCUGACCAGUCAGAAUAGACUCACUGAUGCAAGCCUUAUAGCCUCGCCUCUGGAGGAGAAAUUGGUUUCCCUGACGACAGAUUCCACUGAGCCACUGAGUCAUUGGAACGUAGAAAGGUGGAGAGUGAAAUAGGACAGAAAUUAGUCUGGCCAACACAACUCUCUCAACGUCUUGGUGGCGGGAUGUCACACGCUGUGGGGGUGGAAUCAUCUCAAGGACUUCAUCAAACUGAUACCAGUGGAUGUCGUCUCGAUAAGGCCAGUAAAAUCUGUUUGGUCCUACACAAUGCAUACAUUUCACUUGUACACAUGCCAUCCGUGCUGAGGAUGAUGCCUGGAUAAAGGUCAUCAAAUUCCACUACACACCACUGCCCAAGAACACCUGCAUUUCCCACACUGGAUUUCAUCCACAGGUUGUGGAUUUUCCUCAUUGGCUGGCUGUUCUGGAGCAGCGAGGACCUUCUUCCUGAAACUGAAGUGCUGUGUGUUACAGCAUGCACAGUUUAGGUCCUUAUUUGUUUAACAAAGGCUGCUGACAUCACGAAACAUCAGCUCACCAGGAGCAAAGGGUGAUGACCUGGUGUAGUCUCAUGGUGGAGGGUACCGCUUUUAUCGAGCUUGGCAUCAUCUCCAUCGCAUGUUCAACAUCUGGACUUUGUGGAGGAGUGGUCAAGUUCCUCAGUGUUCCUUUCCUCUCCUUGCUUCUUUUGUAUGCUCUUCUCCGUUUCUUUUCCCUGCUUCAACAUUUCUUUUCCUUCUCUGACGCUUUUUCUCAAGGUAUUGCUCCCUUUUUCUGACACUGCCUUUGUCUUUCUGCUGCUGAUGUGGGUGCCAUCAUUCCCUAGAUGGUUCAAUGGAUAACGUUAAAUCAAAGCUUCUUAGAAUAUAUACAUGUCUACACUAUAAUCCUUGAGUAAUUUAGGCUCUAGAGCGACUUAAAGGAACAACGGAAGUUAAGAGCCUUGCCCAACUCUCCUACCACUAGGCUACCUGCCUUUUAAAAUAUAUUUUUUGCUCACAUUGAACACAUUACAGCAUGUUUCAUAAGUGAAUGUAAACCAUGUAUAAUAUAUUGAUGAAUUCAUUUGUUUAGAUGCAGUAAGUAACUCAACCCUGUCACAGGUUUACAACCCUGUUACAAUGAAAUGUGAUGGUUUUUGGCUCAAAAUGGCCUCUGCUUCUCAUGUGAAGGACAGGAGACCACAUGGUGUGCAUGAAAUUAAUAGAUUGUAUAUUUUUAUGUGUUGAAAUAUAAUUUUGAUAGGUACUAGUUUUCCAUGUUUAUUUAAUGUAACGGGGUUGAGUUGUUCAGGUCGACGAUCCUCACCUGACUUUAAAAUAACAACAAAAUACAGAUAUAAAACAAUGUGAUUACUUGCCUCUUUCUGUACCAUGCAGUUGAAAAUUGUUGAAUGAUGUCAGUUCCUGUUAAUGAUGGCACUAGUGGACUGACUAUUUUUUAUAGGCAGAGUUUGGUAGGCGUUGAGUGUAGACUGACGGACAGACCGAAAUUGUGUGAUUUUAAUCAAUAAUCAUGCAUUUAUUUGAUAAAUACUUACUCAACAAAAGAACACAUAUGUUUGCAUUAAUGGCAAAAGUGAUUAAUUAUGUGCACAUUUUAAUAUUAAUUUCGGUUGGAUUGUGCCCAUAGGCAAUGUUGUUGCAUGUGAUGUCUGGUGAGGACCUGCCUUACAACAGACCUGCAAGCCCUCAGUCCAGCCUCUCUCAGACUAUUGCGGACAGUCUGAGCACUGAUGGAAGGAUUGUGCGUUCCUCGUGUAACUUGAGCAGUUGUUUCCAUCCUGUACCUGUCCCGCAGGUGUGAUAUUCGGAUAUACCGAUCCUGUGCAGGUGUUAUUACACGUGGUCUGCCACUGCGAGGACGAUCAGCUGUCCGUCCUGUCUCACUGUAGCGCUGUUUUAGGCGUCUCACAAUCAAAUUUAUUGCCCUGGCCACAUCUGCAGUCCUCAUGCCUCCUUGCAGCAUGCCUAAGGUACGUUCUCGCAGAUGAGCAGGCACCCUGGGCAUCUUCCUUUUGGUGUUUUUCAGAGUCAGUAGAAAGGCCUCUUUAGUGUCCUAAGCUUUUAGAACUGUGACCUUAAUUGCCUACCGUCUGUAAGCUGUUAGUAUUUUAACAACCG